CCGACAAGCACCCACAAGAGGAAACUUUCUCUUAACAGAAAUGAUUAAAAUGGCUGCUCCCACCGGAAACACCAAUCUCUUUCUCCGGCCUCUCAUCCUCUCCCUUCUUCUUCUUGCCUCACCUUUCGUCUCCUCCGUGGAGAUCGAUUCCUCAGAUCUCAAAGCUCUUCAAGUCAUCAAAACAGAGCUAGGAGUCAACGGUCAACGCUCUUCUCUCUCUUCCAGUGAUGCUAACCCUUGCGGUCGCGGAGGAGUUUCCUGCGAGAUACGCCACUCCGACGCCACCGGAGGAUACGUUCUCCGCGUCACGAGGCUCGUAUACCGAUCCCGGAGCUUGGCCGGAACCAUCUCACCGGUUAUCGGAACGUUGUCGGAGCUCAAAGAACUCACUUUGUCUAAUAACAAGCUGGUCGGUGGUGUUCCACUGGAUGUCUUAAACUGCAAGAAACUCGAAGUCCUUGAUGUCCGAAACAACAGAUUUUCCGGUCAGAUUCCGGGAAACUUCUCUGGUUUUAUCCGUCUUCGAAUUCUUGAUCUUUCUUCGAACAAAUUCUCCGGGAAUUUGAACUUCUUGAGGAAUCUACCCAAUCUCGAGAGUCUCUCCGUUGCAAACAAUAUCUUCUCAGGCAAGAUUCCCGAGCUAGUUAUGUCCUUCCAUAAUCUCCGGUUCUUUGAUUUCUCCGGAAACCGGUUAUUGGAAAGUCCGGUUCCGGUUAUGAGUAAAAUCAAGAUAUCUCCAUACCAAACAAGACACAUUCUUGCUGAAACUCCAUCUACAAACUCAACGAAGAAACCCAACAACACCACCACCACAACAAAAGCGACAGUGUCACCUCCAAAAGACAAGAAAAAGAAAAAGAAAAAGAAGAAGAACAAAAGGAAGAUAGUAGUUGCCUGGAUCUUAGGGUUCGUCGUCGUAGGCAUAGGCGGAAUCAUCUCCGGAGUGAUCUUCAGAUUGAUCCUCAAAGCAAGAAGAGGACCAGAAAAACCAUUAAGUCCUACUAUAUUCAGCCUUUUGAUCAAGAGAGCCGAAGACUUAGCUUUCUUGGAGAACGAAGAAUCAUUAGCCUCUCUUAAGCUCAUCGGCAGAGGAGGCUGCCGAGAAGUUUUCAAAGCCAAACUACCAGGAAGCAACGGGAAGAUCAUAGCCGUUAAGAGAGUGACACAACCCUGUAGAAGCGCAACCGAGCUUGUAGACGAAGAGCCCAGGUUUCUGAACAGGUACAUGUUGCAAAUCAGGUCAGAGAUCAUCACAGUAGGUCAUAUCCGGCACCGGAAUCUUCUCCCGUUGCUAGCACACGUCCCGAGACCCGAGUGUCACUUCCUUGUCUACGAGUACAUGAAGAACGGGAGUUUGCAAGAUAUACUAACCGACGUUUCAGCUGGAAACAAAGAGCUGACGUGGCCAGCAAGGCACAAGCUUGCUUUAGGUAUAGCUGCAGGGCUUGAGUAUCUUCACAUGGAAAGUAAACCUAGAAUCAUCCACAGAGACUUGAAGCCGGCUAAUGUUCUUCUUGACGACGAUAUGGAGGCUAGAAUCACGGAUUUCGGGUUGGCCAGGGCGAUGCCUGAUGCAGUCACGCACAUUACAACCUCUACGCUUUCAGGUACCGUGGGAUACAUAGCACCAGAGUAUCACCAAACUCUCAAGUUCACGGACAAGUGUGACAUCUAUAGCUUUGGGGUGAUUCUCGGGGUGCUGGUGAUUGGGAAGCUUCCUUCUGAUGAGUUUUUCCAGCAUACCAUUACCAAUGAGAUGAGUCUUAUAAAGUGGAUGAGGAAGGUACUAACGUCGGAGAAUCCAAGCCUAGCUAUUGAUCCGAAGCUGAUGAAACAAGGGUUCGAUGAACAGAUGCUUCUUGUUCUGAAGAUUGCUUGUUACUGUACUUGGGAUGAUCCUAAACGGAGACCGAACAGCAGAGAAGUCAAGAUUAUGCUGUCCCAGAUCAAGCACUAGCUAGUUUCUCUCUAUGAUAUGUAGUGUACAUUCCCUGUCUUAUGAAAUAACUAGAUUUUGACCCGAACUUUCGUGCAGAAAUUUUUUCAUUUUAUAAAUGUAUUUGAUAGUAUUACAAAUGUUUUACAUAUAUAAUUUUCAUUUUAGUGUUAUAUAUUUUGUAACUCUACAAUAUUAUUGUUUAUAUUUAGUAUUUGGCAUUAUUAAUAUAUAGUAAUUUGUUUAAUGCAUUUUACUUUGUUAUUAUUUUUAUUAUUUACGAAUAUAUUUUCAAGUUAGGUACAAUAAAAUAACAAUCUGAAAUAAUUAAAUAGAGAACUUCCUUCAAAAUAUGAUUUUUCUUUAAUUUAUACAUUUUGCAUAUAAUAUAUUUUUAAAAUUUAUUUAUUUAUAUUUAAAUAGAGAACUUCCUUCAAAAUAUGAUUUUUCUUUAAUUUAUACAUUUUGCAUAUAAUAUAUUUUUAAAAUUUAUUUAUUUAUAUUAUAGAACAUAUAUUUGUUUAAGAUAAUGUAUAUUUACAUGUGUUUUACAGAUAGUGUUUUACAUAUGGCUCAUAGAAAGAGGGUGAUGCAUUUUCAGGACAAGGUUAGUUCAGCACCUUAGAAGAAUUUGAUGGAUUGUUGGGACCGAGGAAUGUUAGGGCUAGUCUCUCUGCCAUUCAUGCGGAAAUGGAAGCGCCACUAUGGGCAACGAAAUGUAUGAGAAAUUUACGUCAAUUUCAAGCUACAUUUUCAAUGGAUUGUUCUCAAUUGGUGAAGAUGGUUUCGGAACCAGAAGAAUGGCCAGCUUUUGCAAAUUAUUUGGAAGAUGUCAAGAUCCUGAAAGAGAGUUUCACCCGAUCAGAGAUUAUCUAUGUACCAAGGACGCACAAUUCAAAGGCGGUAGACUAGCACGCAAUGUUAGGAAGCAACCGUCUUUUGUCGUUCACAUGGAUUAAGAUCACCCGGUUUGGUUUAAAGAGUCAGUAUGAAUCUGUAUACGUUGAUGACAAAAAAAAUGUAUAUUUACAUGUUGUAAGAUAAUUUAAUAUAUAUCAUUUUAGUAUUUUACGAGAUUUAUAAGUAAAAACACUGUUUUUUUAAAUAAUAUAUUAUUUUAGUAAAUUUUAUACAUAGUAAUAAAAUAUUAUUUUAGUAAAUUUUAUACAUAGUAGCAUCUAUCAUAUUAUUUUAGUAAGUUUUCUUAAUAUAGGAUAUUUUUGGAUGUUAUGAUAUUAAGUUUUCUUUUCUUUUUUUAAUUAAUAUUUCAAUAUAUUCGAUUAAUUUAAUUUUUACAACAUAUAUAGUUUUUUUCAUGGUGCAUUUCAAAAAUUUAUUCAUUAUUAUCUAUGAUUUUAUCUUUUGUAAAAUUUGAAAUAUUAUCAUUUUGAGUUUGAAUAUUUACUUUCGAAAUUGUAUAUUUUGUUAAGAAAACUUUGAAAAAUUACACAACUAUUUUUGAGUUUGGAAGAUUACACGAAUUUUGAAUUUUUUUUUGUUACCUCAUUAAUAUAUUACUAGAUGAUAAUAUGCACGCAUGCGCGGGUGAGUUCUUAUAAUAAUGUUUGUUUAUGAAAUGAUGUUAACAUUUUGCAACACUACAAUCUUUAUCGAUUAUAAAAUGAUGAAUACAAAUGUUGGUCUCUUAAAUAUAUCAUUGUUGUUGAAGAGUUAACGUAUUACAUCUAAUUUUAAUUAUUUUUAAGACUUCAUAUGGACAAAAGAAAAUUAAGUUUUGCGGCUGACACAAAUCACCAAAACCAAAUAUGCAACAUCGAUUGUAUAAUGACGAAAGGGAAUUAGGUUUUCUGCUCUCGAUUUUUGUACUGUUGACUCUCCAUAAGUGAUUUCAUUUUCUACCUCUAUAGAAUCGUGUUUUUGUUCUCGUCUUUGUUUAAUUGAUAUGAGUUAAGUUUCCUUUUUAACUUAUUUUAUGAAUUCAGUGAAUUACAUAAGUGUCAAUUAAGAAAAAUAGACAUCUGUAAAAAUUAGUUUCACUCUAUAUUUAUAUAUCUAAGAAUCAAAAUUUUGAAAAAAAAUCAUCGGCAAACUAUAUUAACAGGUUAGUGUUCAAAUCUAAUAUAUCAAGCUGUUAUAGAAUAUAAGUGCAGACUCGAAAUAUAAAUGUUUGUCCAAUAUAUAUUCACCAGCUCGGUCUAAAAAUCAUCUAAUUAGAACAACAAAACAAAUUACUUAUUUCACCAGUUCGGGUAAUAUCUCAAUCCGAACGGGGAAUAUCCAAACCAGAAUGGAUAUCCGAAGAUAACCAAACAUAAGUAUAUUUAACUCUAUAUUUCUAGUUUAUUUUUCUCAUUUUAUUCAAAGUAUUUAUAUUAAUGAUUCAUAUUGCUCAAAAUAAGAUAAUAUACAUAUAAUUAUGGACAAAAUCAUUUGCUACUCACUUAAAAUACAUAUCAAGUUCUUGUUUCUUGCAAUAACAAAAGUUGCAUCUACAAUUUCAAAACAACAACUAAAUUAGUGUCUUUCUAUUUUUAAAGUUUUAUCUCCAAACCUAUUAAUAGUUUAAUCUUUUAAAAAUUAAAAAAAAAACAGAUAAGUUAAAAUAUAUUUUAAAUACAAAAACUUAAAAAAUGAAUAAUUGAUUUAUUUUUUCUUUAAAAUUUAAAUAUCCGAACCCGAUCCAAAAUAUUCGAACCCGAACAUAAAAUACCCGAGCCCGACUCGAAGUGUAGAAAUACUCGAAUGGGUUCUAUACUUUUAUACUGAAAUAUCAUAUACAAACACGAACGUUUAUCCGAACGCCCACCCCUAUGAUAUGAUCAUUUGUAUCUUGGUUGAACAAAAAAAAAUUAAACCAUUGAUCAUAAAAAAUUAAUGUGGGACUUUUACCAUUUUUAGUAAUUUAUAGUCAUUUUUAAAAAUUCAAAAUAUAACCUAUAAGAAAAAAUCUAAUUUUUUAUUAUAUGCUUAGUGUGAUUGUUUAAUUUCUUUUAAUAGUAUAAAAUUAAACAAAAAAAGAGAGGUUAGAAUUUUUUUUCAUCAAAUAUGUAUUAUUCAUAAUCAUUAAUUGUCAUAUAUAUUUGUUAACCAUAUUAGGUAUUUCCGUAGCCUUUAUUUUCAGAAAAGAAAAAUAUUCUUUUGUACACUAUUAAUUAAUUUGAUUGUUAGUUUACAAAAAGCAUAGUAUAUAUUUUAUAUGGACCAACUUAUUUUUCUAACAAUUCUAAGAAUCAUUCUCGUGAUGACACGUGACUACGAAAAUAUGUUGUAAUACUCUGAGAUUAAUAUAUAGGGGAUUUUAUAAAAAAAUAUAUGAAUUUUUAGUAAUACUUUCUAAAAUUUUCUCACCAGAUUUUGUUAUAAUAAAAAAAAAAUUAUAGCUACAAUUUGAUUUUAAUUAAUAUUUUAAAUGAAUUAUUAAAAUUUUAUAUAUUUCUAAUAACAUAUUAUUUUAUACUAUUAUAUUUUUUAUAUAAGCAUUUUAAACAAUAUAUUGUUGGGAGUUUCAAAAUAAAUAAAAGGAUAUCAUAUUGUUGUAGAUAUAAAGGUUUUACCUAUGUUAAUAAAUUUAUUUUUGUAUCAAAACAUUAUUUAGCUUACGAAUUUUAACUCAUUUUUAAUGAUAAGUGAUAAUUUAUUAAAAUGAAAUAAUUUUAAUAAAAACUUUGUUAAUUUACCUAUUGAAUAUAAUUUUGUCAUAUUUAAUUCCUAAAUCAAUUCAAUUUUUAUAUAAUACAUAAUAUAAUAUAAAAAACUAUAAAAUAUAGUAUAGAAUUUAUAUUUUUUUUGUUUUAGAAUAAAAUUUUAAUUAACAUUGAUUUGUAAUAAUAUUUUAUUACUAAUUACGAAAUUAAUUAAUGUGUUAUUUUAUAAAAAUAUUUAUAUUUUUAGUAAGAUUUUGUUACAUUCUUUUUCAAGAUAUUUUGUUACAAUUGAAAAAAUUGAAAUUUAUGGUUGGUUUAUUAUUAAUGUAAAUAAUCUAAUAUGUCGUAUUAACUAAUCUUUUGAAUGAUUUUACUAUGACUUGUUAAUAGUAGAUAAAAAUAUAAUCAUAAAUUAACAUAUUACUAGAUUUUGAUCCGCGCUUGGAAAGCUCGGAUUUUUGGAUUAUAUUAUAAUACAAAGUUUUAUUAUAUCAAAAAUAUAACUUUUAACAGUUAUAUAAUCUAUGAAUUAGUUUAUUUGAUAUUUUAUAUGUACACUUUUACGUAAAUUUCUUUUACGCAUGAAAAUUAUAUAUGGACCAAAAAAACAAACCGAACCGACCCGAAAAUAUAGGUAUAGUUCAGGUCCAGAGAAGAUAACAUAUUUGGGUUUUUUUUGGAACCGUAUGUCUUUGUUUGAGUCCGGGUCCUACCUUAGACCCGAUCAUAAAUAUGUUGUGUUUAUUAGGUAUAUUUAGAUAUUUCAAAUAUGUUUCCAGCAUUAUUUUUUUUAGAUUUUUGGUUCACGAUUAUAGUUUUUUGAUUUCAGGUAAAUUUUUAAUGUAAAAUUUUUUUUGGGUAUUUGGAUAAAAUUUUGGGUAUUUUCAGUUCAGUUACAGAUUUUGAAUAAGAUUUUAAAUUUUUAGGAAUUUGAAUUUUUUUGGCUAUUUAUUUGGAGUUUCAAGUACUUUUCGUGUUCCAGAUAUUUUUCAUAUUUUUUAGAUAUUUCAAAUUUUCUUAGGAUCCUAAAUACCCGAACAGAUGUGGACCCAUUACGUCCAUAUCGGGUCCAACAACUUUUUGAUAUAGAUUUUUAAUGUUAUUGUACAAAAACAUGGUUGAUGAAAUAUUUUUAGAAAAUUCAUUUUUAAAUAUGAAAAUAUCUAUCAAACUAUAGACGGUUGAAAUUUUAGUAUAUAAUAUGGGAUUUUAGUAGGAAAAUUUAUAUAUGAUAUGAUUACGUUAUUAUAAAGGAAAUAGGAAGUUAGAAUGUACACAUAUAUGUCGUGUAACUUCUCUUGCUUUAAAUCAUAUAUUAUAUGAUAAAAGUGAUAAUAUAAAACAUUAGUUUCAAUGUUUUUAUGAUUAAAAGUCAAAAUGGUAAAUAUAGUAAUAGUAAUGAUUAAGAUGUAGGAGUGAUAUUUGAAUAAAUAAAGGAAUUGAAUAAAUUAUUGUUAGAGAAAUACAUGGUAACAUAUUGUUAGUCUAAGUUUAAGGUAAGACCAAGAAAUAAUGAGUUAAAUGAAAGGGUCCAAACAACUUUAUAGGUAGAUUUUUUAAGACUCUUUCCCUUUUAAUAGUAUUGAUAUUACACGUGAAUGCUAUAGUGUUCGCUUGGCAGAAGCCUGUGAUGAAGAUGUAUUAUUAAAAUGGAUUUUAAUCUUGUUUUAUUAAACAUAAACCAUUCAUCUUAUACAAUAAGCUUAGCUAUCUAGACAAAGAAACGUUUUGUCUUCUCUAUAACUAUAAGCAGCCGUUUGAGAAUCUCCCUCAGAUUUUUUAGCUGUUCAUGACUGCCUUCAUGUUCUUCACACUAGAAAAUAAUAAAAACUGAGUCAACACAUGUUGAGAUGCAUAAACUUGUAGUGAGAUCGACAAACAAUGUCAAUUGAGUUUUCCUUUGCUACAGCAAGAGCAGUGAGCUGUUUACCCUUAAACAGAAAAAUGAAGAACAAUGUGUAUCUCAUCAUCAUAGUACCUCAAUUUUAAAUUUGGAGCUUUUGUGUAUUUAAACUCACCUCUUGAUGAGACAGGAAAACAACCUCCCAUGAGCAUUUUCAAAUGGCCCAGCUUCAUACACCGGCUUCACCGGCCAGCGGAAGUUCUCCACCUGUUAUUUACUUUAUAUUUAUGUGUGUGGAGGCAAUGGCAGGUGAAUUAAACUUUUCCAAAUAUAUUAUAUCAAUUGUAAUAUCAUAUUGUUCAUCUAUCAAAAUACUAAGAUUCAUGUAAUUCUUUUAUUUGAAAGCAAGAAAAACAUUAUAUGUGAUUAAGUUUUGAUAUAAAAAAAAAGUAACUAUUGUAGUACAUGAAUAAAUAAUGGUGUUGAAUUUUUUUUUAAAAAAUAUUUAAUAAAAUCAUUUUACACUGUUAAGUGUGGUUUUAUGUAAAACCACAACUGGCUGCUGAACGACGUAGUGCGUUUAAAAGAAGAGUAGUGAUUUACAUUUAAAGGCAGUUUCUGAGUUUUUAUUACACUAAGAGACAGUUUCAACUACUGAGGUAGUUUAUCUCAACUAAGAUAUAACGAGAAAGUGAGUUUUUCAACUAGUGGGACCCAUCAGUUUUUCUUUCUUCUUCUUCUUUUAUCGUUGUUUUUUUUUUCUAGUCAAAAAUAAAGUUAUCAUCUCUUAAUCUUUCCAAACAAGAAGAAGAAGACAUGAAGAUCUCAAACACUUCAAACCCGUUAUAAUAUAUACCGCCAGAAUCCUUGUGCUCUUCAGUUCAUCUCCCCUUGUGCUCUUUAACUCAUCUUUCUUAACAAAAAAACUCACUAUUUUUGAAAUCUGAACUUGAAAAAUAUUUUAUAAAUGAUAAAACUACGAUCUUGAAGUGUAACAUAUAAUUAAAACGUAAAAGAAUGAACGAUUAUGUGAAAGAAAUCAAUGGCGGCCGUAAAAAUUUUGGAGAAACCCCUAAAAUUCUGGGGAAGACGAAGACAUAUUUACUAAAAUGCCACUGAUUAAAAAAAAUUGAAAAAAAACAAAAUAUGUACACAUUCAUGGGUCGUACACAUGGAUAAUAAUGUAUAUGUACACUAAGGUGUUUACGUGUUUAACAUUUACUUAUAAAAUUACAACUAUGUACACUAUUUUACCAAAUAUAUUGCAUUCACAUGUGUUCUGAUAUUGAUAAGUUUGAACAUGUCCAAAUAGUGUACAUAUGCCCAAAGCAAAAACCUUUGUACAUGUAUACAUAGUGAGAGAUCUUUAGAUAUGGUGUAAUAUUGGUAAAUUUGUACAUGUACUUGGUAAGUGUCCAUAUGGGCAACAUGGAAACCUCAUACAUAUGUACAUGGAGCUAAACUUGUAGUUGUGUUUUACAUGUGGAAUGUACAUUACAUAUGUGUAUAUGUGGACAUUAAACAAUGAUGUUGUGUAAUAUUAGUAAAUAUGUACAUGUUACAUGUUCAGUGUCCAUAUGGAUAACGUAGGAAAAACUAUUUGUACAUGGCGCUAAAGUUGUGGUAGGUUUUGGUUGGAGGGGGGGGGGGGGGAAUGUACAUUAAAUAUGUGUACAUGUGGACAUCAAACAACGCUGACAAGAAAAUGCAUGAAAGAAACCGAUGUAUGCGUUUAGUUCAAUUAAAAUAACGAUUGGAUAACCGCAUGUACACAUGUACGCUAUUAUACUUUAAGAUUCACAUAAUUACGUUUUGACCCCAAACUUUUCAAUUCAUUUUCAUUAGGCGUGUGUACGAAAAAGUGUAUUAGCGUACAUGUGUACAGAACAUAUGGUGGUGUACAUAUGUACGAGAAAUAUGAUAGUGUACAUAUGUAAAACAACCAUAAAUUAAUCAAGCUAAGACCUACCAUGAAGCUAGCAUGAAAACACACACAUUAAUCAGAGCAAGGAUGAUAUUUAGGUUCAGUCAUACUUCAAGGAUGCUCAACCCUCCGUUUACAUGGGAAGAAGGAAAAAAGUUCACAUGUACAUUAUGUUAACAUUAAGUGAGUUCAUAAAGUCGCAGAAGCUUAAUUAUUUAGAUAGAAAACCUACAAAAAGUCAAAAAUGUGUACACAAUCACUUUGAUGUAUAAUACAAAAUUAAGUGUACACAUGUAUAGUUUGAAUGUAAUGUACACAUAAUUUUUCUUUUUUUUCAUAAAUGUUGCAAAAUUACGAAAAUAACUUCAUCUUCUUCCUUAGCCAUUGUCGACCAGAAACCAUGAUCUCCGCAUAUCUCGCAUGUUUUCUAUGAUUCUUUGUAUUCUCAACUUGUUUUUUAUGUAUUUUUAUCUAGAUGUGAUAGUUUUCAAGAAACAUUUACAGUCUAAGAUACAUUUCAUCUUAUUAUUACACUCUAUGACACAUUCUACUACACACACACUUUCUUCAACCAUUACAUUCAUUCUUAACUAAAUUAAUUCACUUUUAGUUCAAUUAUAAAGACUGGUUUUAAUAAAAAUAAUAGAAGUGGCGGGAUUCAACCACAACCAUUGAUCUGUUUUCUAUUUCGACGGCCAAGAUCUUUUUUUCAUAGAUCUGGAUUAGACAUAUAUCUAUCUGAAACCUAAUCCAUUAAAUCAACAAAGCUAAAUUUAUCAUCUUCAUCAUCUUCGUGGCUUUUAAUUUUUCUUCUCUGGCAAAGGUUUUUCUUUUUGUUUAGUAAAGAGAUGCAACAAAUUAUUUCUCUCACAAAAAUGAUUUGAGUUUGGAGUGUGCAAUGUCGACAACGACGGAGACAUCGAUAUAGACAACGGCGAAAAUGUAGACAACAACACAAACAACAUCGAUGAUGGAAACAUCGACAUAGAUGAAGAUGGAAACGUAGUCCACAUCAAUAUAGAUGACAAGCAAACCCCAAGGCAUCUCCUCCUUCUUGCUCUGUUGCGAUCCUUUCUUGAUUUCAUGUUCUGCCCGUGACAAAAGAUCUCUCCGGUGAACCCUUUUGAUUAUGUACCAUCUAAAUAUCUGUUAUGUUGCAUAUGUUUUAAAGGACGAAGACGAUCUCCUUUCAUCAAAGUAAUUUUCUUUUUAUGUUUAUUUCUAUUGGAUAAGAAAUUCUGACAAAAAAAAUUAGCUGAAAGAAUCUUUUUGUUCUUGUUAAUAGAAAAUAAUUUUUUGUUCAUGAUUAUGUAUGCGAUGAAUUUUGUAUGGAGGAGAUUAAGAAAUGGAUGUAUUUUUUCUUGUUAAUGGAAAAUGAUUUUUAUUCUUGGUCAUCAUAGGAGCAAGACUAUCCACAACCCAUGUCUUCUUGCUUUUUUGUUGUACACAUGGAAUUUGCACUUUUGUUAGUGAAUAUUAUAAUGUUGAAGUUUAGAAAAAGUUUAUAACAUGUUAGAGUCUUGUUAUGUUAGAGUCUUGUGUACAUAAUUUUAUGAGUUUUUAAUAUGUGUACACAUGUACACUAUAACUUCUAAGUACAUAUGGACAUCAAAUAUGUGUAUUGUUUUACCAUGACUAUAAAAUGUGAUUUUCUAUAAUAUUCCAUGUACUUGUUACUCAUCAAUUCCAUUUAUUCUUAUACAUAACAUUUUUCAUGUAUUUUAACAUUUUCUGUACAUGAUAUAGUUGUCAUUAUAUCUAGGUUGUCUACGUUAAUUGUGUCUAUGCUUUGUUGUCCAUAUAGACCUCUUAAAUAAUAUUCAUGCAUAAACUAGCUUUCCAGACAUCGUACACGUUCUCAUGUGCAAAUUGAAUUUUUUUUCCAAAACAAGAACCAUGUUGAUCAUUUUACAAUAAAAAAUAUCACUGUUCCAUACUCCCCAACCAUCUUUCUAUAUGUUGGAAGAUUGGUAUUAUUACACAUAAAUUGGAAGGUUAAUUUUGUGUAUAUGUGAAUAGCAUUACAUCAGUGUACACAUGGAUAUCGUUAUAGUGUUGUACACAUGGAUAUUGUUCUCAUAUGUACACAUGAGUAUUGUUCUCACGAAUAUCUAUUACAUUCAUCCAACACAAAAUACAUCUAGUAAUACUACAUACAACUAUCUAACAUAAUGCAAUCAAAUUUUUGAAGUCAUAAAAAUACAUAUUUGUGGCUAUAUUGCAAUCUACGGGUUCUUGAUCUCUAAUGUCCAUAUGUACACACUCUUUCUAUUGUCCAUAUAUGUACACACUUUUCUAAUGUCCAUAUGUACACACUCUCUUGUGUACACUUAUUUCACUCAUUAUACAGAUGGUUGGUUUAAACAAUAUACGUUCACCCCAUCAAUGAAAAAUGUGAUCCAAUUUAUAAUAAUGUUUUAAAUGCUUCUCAAUGUAAAAAGUAUUCGAAUAAAAAAUAAAAAAAUGAAUUUGCAAUGGAGUAGAUUGGUAUUGCUAUAUUGUUGAAAAGUUUACAUUUUUGUGUACAUGUGAAUAUCAUUACAAUGGUGUACACAUGGAUAUUGUUCAUAUGUACUGGCUCCUACACCAACAAACACAACAUAUACAUGUCAACCUAUCAACAAGAAUACUUAUUAUGUACAUAUACACGCAUGUACACAUGUACAAAAUCUUGGUUGUUCACAUAUACACACCUGUUGGUGUACAUCCGACCACAGCUUUGUCAAAACACCAAAAUUAGCAACAAGCUUCGACAUUUUUUUCCAUUCACCGCUCCCUCUUCAGACUGCACCAUCUCUGUAAAACAAGCAGAAAAAAACUUAGAGCACUUAGAAAUCUAGAACCGCACCCCUAAAUUGAAACCCUAAUCUACAAAUCAAAACUGUAAUGGGAGUUUUUCAAAAAUUUAGAACCGCGCCCCAAAUCAAAAUCCUAACACCUCACGUCGAGGCUCUUACCAAACUCGAAAAAUUGGCUAGGCAAAAAAACACACCUUCGUCGAUCCGCUCGUCGUCAUCUCCACCGGUCAAAGGUUCACUCGUCUGAAACCAGAAACGCCUUCGUCUUCUCUUUCCAUGCUCGCUUCUUUAUCCUGGUCAUUCUUAAUUUCGCCUGAAUCCACCAUUAAAGCCCCCUCGUCAGUAACUUUUAUCGCCGUAUUCUCUCCCGUAAACAAAAAUUAGGAUUAGUUGAGAGAAUUAGUUAAUUAGAUUAAUUUCACCUUUUUACGGACCCAGGUCUAUUUAUUAACCGUCCCAAAUUUUUAUUCGCGUCCACCAAUACAAUUCUGUCUUUUUUCAAAAUUUAAACCUACUUGCAAACCUAACCAGAAAAAUGGUCUUUUACUCAUAUACCCAUGUCUCGUUUUGUUUUUCAUAGGACAAAAGGGUCUUUAACCACCUAAAUGUGUCUCAGUAGCAAAAUAUGUUCUCUGCUGUAAUAAAAACACAUAAAGUGUAUUUAUGAAAAUAACUCUUUAGUUAGUGUAUGAGUGAAAAUGAAAUUUAGUUAGAAAAAAGUGUCUGAGUAGUGAUAAGUGUCUUAUUGUGUUAAUAAAACUCAUAAACUGCCUUUCAUUGUAAUUCUUUCAAUUUGCAUGUAUAAAAAAGUAGUGAUUUAUUGCUUUUUGUCUUUAUUUUGGUAAACUGCGUUUUUCAACUGAUAUGCAUAAUUGGUGAUACUUGCUCAAUUAGGCAUUUCUUAUUGUAAUUACGCCCGCAUCGCAGUUACCAAUCACUACCUUACUAUUAGAUUAUUACUAGUCUAUCAGCGUUUGGUUUGCAUUACCAAUUUUUACAUGCUAUUUCUUCUUUUCAUAAAAUACUUGGUUUACACAUCUUCCUGUACCAUUCGAAGCCGAUGUCUCUUUCCAACGACUUAUUACACACUCACCGCUCAGAAUCUUAAAAAAGACAAUGAACUUGUCGACGUUAAACGCUAAAGAGGGUGACUAUAAAACAAGAAAAUGUGUGGAACAUAGCAACAAUAAGUUCUAACGUGUAUAAAUCAAAAGGGUGGCCCCCUGUGGAACCCGACGCAGAGUAGACUUUGACUUAUCAACUCUCAAGUCAAUAACAGACUCGCUACGUUCACAUUUUCUAAACAGUUAUUUGCCCAUACUAUUAUUUCCAGGAAAUAAACACUCAAUCAUACACUUCUUAGAAAAUAUCCAUUUUUUUCGUAUACAUAUUUUAUAUAUUUUGAAGAUAUUAAAUUGAAUUUAGCAAUUCUAUUUAUAAAAUAUCUUUGGACCAAUUUUCAAAGUAUUGAUUAAUUCUUUAAGGAAAAAAAGAAAACCGUAAAACACGUAAAGACUUUUCUAUAGAUUAGUGGUAGUUGCUGACCAUAAAUAAACAGAGUAAAAGAUUCCGACAAGCACCCACAAGAGGAAACUUUCUCUUAACAGAAAUGAUUAAAAUGGCUGCUCCCACCGGAAACACCAAUCUCUUUCUCCGGCCUCUCAUCCUCUCCCUUCUUCUUCUUGCCUCACCUUUCGUCUCCUCCGUGGAGAUCGAUUCCUCAGAUCUCAAAGCUCUUCAAGUCAUCGAAACAGAGCUAGGAGUCAACGGUCAACGCUCUUCUCUCUCUUCCAGUGAUGCUAACCCUUGCGGUCGC
rnacentral:lncRNA from 1 species